rnacentral:rRNA from 1 species
GUCUUUUUGGAGGUAUAAAAAGUCAGACCUGCCCACUGAUUUUUUUAAGGGCCGCGGUAUUUUGACCGUGUGAAGGUAGCGUAAUCAUUAGGUUUUUAAUUGGAAUCUUGUAUGAAUGGUUAGACAAGAGAAAUUCUGUCUCUUUAUUAGUGUUGAAUUUAACUUUUAAGUGAAAAGGCUUAAAUUUGUUAGAGGGACGAUAAGACCCUAUAAAGCUUGAUAUUUAUAUGUUAUUAAAUUUAAUUGGGCAUAAAAAUCUUAUAAUAUAUUUUAUUUUAUUGGGGAGAUAAGAGUAAAAUGUUUAAUAACUGCUCAAGUGUAGUUACAUUUUUGAUUGAGUUUAUAGUCAAUAAAGAUCCUGUUAUAGAGAUUAUAAGUUUAAGUUACUUUAGGGAUAACAGCGUUAUUUUUUUUGAGAGUACGUAUCGAAAAAAAAGUUUGCGACCUCGAUGUUGAAUUAAAAUUUCUUUAUAGAAGCAGAAACUAUAAAAGUGGGUCUGUUCGACCUAUAAAAUUUUACAUGAUUUGAGUUCAGACCGGCGCAAG